AUCAGACUGAUGAGUUCUAAAUAGGACGAAAUACGCAUCCUCGAU
rnacentral:hammerhead_ribozyme from 1 species